UACAUGGGGUGCAAACGUUGCUCGGAAUUAUUGGGCGUAAAGCGCGCGUAGGCGGUUACUCAAGUCGGAUGUGAAAGCCCUCGGCUUAACUGAGGAAGUGCACCCGAAACUGAGUAGCUAGAGUACUAAAGAGGGUCGCGGAAUUCCCGGUGUAGAGGUGAAAUUCGUAGAUAUCGGGAGGAACACCGGUGGCGAAGGCGGCGACCUGGGUAGAUACUGACGCUGAGGCGCGAAGCGUGGGAGCAAC
rnacentral:rRNA from 1 species